AAUGGAAAAAAUGGGUAUAAUCAACGAGUACGUUUCGAAGAUUAUAGUGAUAAGGAAAUGGAAACCUUGAGCCAUUAUACUCGAAAGUAUUGGGCGAGGGCAACUACUGAGGUAUUCGUGAAAGUAGGAGAUAUAGAAGAACCAAUUGUUGCUUUAGUCGACCAUGGUUCUGAAAUAAAUCUCAUAUCUAAAGAUCUUUAUAAGAAGCAAAAAUGGCCAAUUGAUAUGGAACAUAGAUGGGCAAUUCGAGCAGCUAAUAACUCACGAGGCAAAUUAUAUGGAGCUUGUCUAGAUGUCAAGAUUCGGAUUGGGGAUGUUGCGACGGAGCAAUAUUUCUAUGUUCAAGAUACAACGUCUUAUCCGUUGAUUUUAGGACAACCUUAUAUUACAGCAACACGGAUGGAAACAAAAGUACUUGACGAUGGUAAUGCUUAUGCAAGGGUACGGAGCGAAGAUGGGAGAAAAGCUGUACAAUUUCUAACAGUACCUCCUAACCAUGAACGGAAUCGAGAUAGGUUGAGGGAGAAACCAUUGCCAAAGAUUGUUGAAGGAUUUAAGGAUUUUGGGGAGGUACCACUGUAAAGCGAGAUUAUGGAGGUACAAAAGAGGAGGUACUCUCACGAGAUGAAGGUGCCUUUGAUGCGAGUUUUAUUGGUAUAUUGGAGAAUGGAAAUAUUAUGUAUAAGAAAGUUGAUGAUUUUAAAAGAAAAGAAAGAAAAAGGUUAUAUAAUAUUGAAGGACAAUUACGCAAGAUAAGUGCAUUGCAAGAGGAUGAGAGGAUUUUGGGUGUUUAUGAAGAAAAUGGACUGGAAGAUUCAUUGGAAUUGAUUACAUCUAUUGGGUUAGGGGAUAAUGAUAAGAUUGUUGAGAUUCAUUCAAGUGAGGUUUAUACCAUGCUUGAAUCUUUUCAAGCACCAGAAGUCACUAUAGAGACGAGAUAUAAAACGGAAGAUAAGAAGGGAAAGCCUGUUGCAGGACCAUUGCUAGAAGAUUCAAAAGAACAAAUGGAAGAAGCAUGAAAAGAAGCAAGUUGUCGUAUUACGUGCUUUCCUGCUAGAGAACGCACCGGGCGUCUGGCUGUAGAAGGUAGUAUGGAGAUUCGCCGAUAGUCAAGCAGUUUAUCGGUUUUUGACUGUUGGAAUAUAAACGAUUGUAAGAAUACACUGUAAAUCUAUACGGAUGCCCUUCGAUUGCUUGCGGAAGUCCUUUUUGCCCCAGCCGGUAGGUCUCUAGACAUUACAGAGAACCCCGAAUAAUCCAAACUGCUAAUCUUUGAUACCGCUUUAUAUUCACGAUCUUAUAUCCACUGACUGUCUUGUUAGAUUAACCCAAUAAAUUUCAUUCACUCCGCAUACUCAAUCCUAUAGACACCCUUUUAAUUCUUCAUCAUAGACGUAACUUGUUUUUACAAAACAGUCAAGAGUAAUCACACCCACUUCAUUAAAAUCCCGAUUCACCAGUACAACACUGACUUCAGCAACGUUUGCCUCAAUCUUCCCAAAAUCCUAUGAAGAAAAAAAAACCCAAUUCUCUGUCUUUUUUCUCCUUCCCAAAGCAUGAAGCUAGCUCUCCGAUCCUUCAAAAACCCCCAAAAAAACUUAUUCUCUCCCCUUCAUUUCUUAACCUAUCCUCCCCUUUUACCCUAAUUCUCUCCUCUUUCAAACCCUAGUCUCUGAAUUUAUUCAAUCUUCCGUCUUGGAUCCGGAAUUGGCUCCUGCCGUUAGAGCUUUCUCCUCCGUUUUUACGUUUAAGAGAUCCUUUUACCGAAAACAACGUUCCUUGAAACAGCACAGAGAACAAGACAGCCUGAAACAGAAUCAAAAUCCCCGUAAUUGGGACCACAUUGAGUUGCCCGACCAAUUCAGGUCUCAUAUUGGCUAAGAGGACCUGGAUUGGAUGUCUUGAAAUUGGUCCACAUUGGGUUGCCCGACCAAUUCAGGUCUCAUAUUGCGUAAGAGGCCAGUAGUAAGAUUGGAUGUCUUGAAAUUGGAUCCAAUUGGUUCUUCGAACAAGGUUCACCCGUCGUUGAAUUGGUCCUUUCCCUUUCUGCUGACUCCUGUUAUUGGAAUCGAACGGAGCAUUUCAGUAAGCCCCGGCUGACUGUAACGGGGUGACUGAAUCUAGCCUCUCAGUAUUUGCACUGGAAUUGGUCGUUGCUCUCAAUAUUUGAGGUAACUAAACAUUAAUAAAAGUCCUCUUUUUUUAUAUUUUCACAGUAUACUUGUGUUACAACAUGACAACGCGCUGGGCGUCUGGCUGUAGAAGGUAGUAUGGAGAUUCACCAAUAGUCAAGCAGUCUAUCAGUUUUUGACUGUUGGAAUAUAAACGACUGCAAGACUACACCGUAAAUCUAUACGGAUGCCCUUCGACUGCUUAUCGAAGUCCUUUUUGCCCCAGCCGAUAGGUCUCUAGACGUUACAGAGAACCCCAAACAACCCAAUUUGCUAAUCUCCGAUACAGCUUUGUACUUACGAUCUUGUAUCCACUGACUGUCUUGUUAAAUUAAUCCAAUAAAUUUCAUUCACUUCGUAUACUCAAUCCUAUAGACACCCCUUUAAUCCUUCAAUCACAAACGUAAUUCGAUUUUAUAAAAUAGUCAAGAGUAUUCAAACCCACUUCAUUUAAAAAUCUCGAUUUACCCUUACAACACUGACUUCAGCAGCGAUUGCCUCAGUCUUCCCAAAACUCUACGAAGAAGAAAAAUCCAAAUUCUAUGUCUUUCCUUCCCCGACCCGAAGCAUGAAGCUCCUCUCUCUAAUUCCCUUGAUCUUCAAAAACCUCCAAUGAAACCGAAUUGGUAACCUUGCAAAAGCUUGAAAACUAGCUCCCCCUCCAAUUUCUCGAAAGAAAAAAACCUCCCCCCCUCAAAACUAUAUCCCCCCUAACCUUAUCCUCUGAAUUUCUUCAAUCUUCCGUCUUAGAUCCGGAAUUGGCUCCCACCUCAAGCUUGGAUCCGAAAUUGGCUCUCGUCGUCAAGCUUUCUCCUCCGUUUUUACCUUUAAGAAAUCCAUUUACCGAAAACAAUGUUCCCUGAAACGGCACAAAGAACAGGACAGCCUGAAACAGAAUCGAACCCCGUAAUCGGGACCACAUUGAGUCGCCCGACCAAUUCAGGUCCUACAUUGGGAAAGAUGCCCGUAGUAAUCUAGAUGUUCCCGUAAUUGGGUCAAAUUGGUCCUCGCGUCAGAUUGGCUAAGAUCCGUAGUAAGACUUGGAUUUCCCGUAAUCAGACUGCAUUGGGUUGACCGGCCAAUUCAGGUCUCAUAUAAGAUAAGAAGACCCAGAUUGGAUUAUCGAAAUUGGAUCCAAUUGGCUCCUCGAACCCGUCGUGUGAAUUGGUCCUUCUCUUCCUGCUGACUCUCGUUAUUGGAAUCGAAUGGAGUAUUUCAGUAUGCCCCGGCUGACUGUAACGGAGUGACUGAACCUGACCACUCAGUAUUUGUACUGGAGUUGGUCGAUGCUCCCAAUAUUCGAGGUAACUGAAUAUUAAUAAAAUUCUCCUUUCUUUUUAUUUUCACUGUAUACUCGUGUUACAACACGACAUCCACCCUCUCUGAACCUGUGCAUCCUCCGGUAUGCACCAAUUUACCCAACUGCUGUUUGAUUGAGAAUAUAUCCCCUACGUCUUUGUCCAGUUCGUCUUUGUCACCUUCAUUAUCCAUAUCACUUUCAUCUUCUUGCUGCGGAAUCUCUGUACCUUCAUUAAGGUCUUCCAUAUUCAUCUCUGCGUGUCUUCGUUUAAAUAUUUUUACUUGCUUCCCUGCAAUUGGUAUUUUCAGUUUUGUACCAUCUAACUCCCGUAAUGAGUAAGUCGCAUUAUCAUGAACAGUUGUUACAACAUAUGGUCCAAACCAACGUUUUAAAAAUUUCCGCAAAGUACUUUGUUGAUUAUCCAGACUAUUGUCAAAAACAAGUACCCAGUCACCUUCCUCGAUUGUUUUUGGUCUUAAUCGAUGUUGCUUAUCGAAUCGCGCCUUGUUUUGUAACCUUGCUCUUUUUAACCUUUCUAAUGCUAUCUGGACAUCUUCCGUUCUUUGCUCCAAUUGUCGAAUCCUAAUAGCCAGAAGUUCUUCUCUUGUCAAUCCAUCUUCCCAUGGUAGCAUACUCCAAGUAAGUACCUUUUCUUCAAUCGGCAUAAUUGGUUUUUGACCUGUCAUAAGUUCUACUGGCAUAUAUCCUAUCACCAAACUAUGUGUUGUUCGAUCAGCCCAUAAUGCAAAUGACAAAAGCCGUGGCCACUCUUUAACCUUCAUAUUACAAGCUUUAACCAAUGCUUUCACAAUCGGCAGGUGACCGCGUUCGCUUUUCGCAUUCCCUUCAAGAUUAUAAGCAGUAGUCAGUGAUAGUUUAACUCCACAUUUUUCAAAGAACUUAUGAGCUUUUUGUGCAUUUAAUUCUCCACGAUCUGCAGUGAUUUUUCCUACGCAUCCCUAACGGCAAAUGACAUCUUCAAGCAAAAACCUACAAAUCCCCUUUGUAGAUUUUGUCCUCAAUGCUCUUCCUUCUACUAGAUUUGAUAAAUCUUCACGAGCUAAAAUCAAAUAUCUCAUCUGCCAUAACCCAACCAGCAUAAUAACCAAAUCAACAAUCUAUUUAAAAUGAAUAGCCAGAGGAUACGUAAGAUGAAGACCAUCUCGAUGUCAGAUAUUAGAAUACGAUUGACAGAUUUCACAUGACUCUACAAAUGAGAGCACAUCUCGAUAUAUAUUUUUCCACCAAUAUCGUUCCUUGAGUUUAGCAAAAGUAGCCCAGAUUCCUCUAUGCCCUGCCUAUAAACUAUCAUGAAACUCCUUUAAUAAUUUUAGUUUUUCUUCCCUUUAUGCCUAUCACUCGUUGUGGCAUCCCAAUUCCUUUCUUCGGUCUCUUCCAUAACAAUCCAUCUCGAAGUAAAAAUCCAUAUGCUUUUUUUCUUAUUUGUUUGAAUUUUUUUGUAGACCAAUUCCCUUGCUUAGACAAGGUAUUCAAAUAAUGACCAAUAUUCAAUAAUUCUCCUUCAUAAGAUUCUUCAAGAAAUAGCUUGUCUUCUCUGUUGAGAUUUGAUAUUGAAUAGAAUUUCAAUUCGACAUCACCAAUGUCUUCAACCAUUUCGUCCUCCCUCUCGUAUCUUGCUCGAUAUAGCAUGUCUGCUACUAAAUUGUCCUUCCCAGUAAUAUGCUUAAAUUCUGGAUUUAGUGACUUAAUAUAAGCAAUCCAUCUCAACAUUGCAAUAUUUGGCGUUGAACAAUUAAUAAUCAUUCCAAGCAAUGGCAAGCAAUCUGUUUCAAUUACUACUACCAUCCCAAUCAAAUAGUCUUUUUCAGCUUUCAAAGCCGAAACGACUCCCCAAAGUUCUCUUUUGACUUGCGAAUAUGCACGCUGACGAAUACUUAAAACUUUAGCCCCAAAUCGAACUGCAAAUCAACUCCCAUUCGAAUCAUCUUGAUCCACCGCCCAUCCAACGGCAAUUGGACUAGCAUCCACAAUAAGAAUCACUGGUCUAUUGCACUUAUAAUCAACCUUCCUCAAUAUUGGAGGUGACAUCAAUAAUUUCUUCAAUCUUUGCAUUGCCUGAAUAUGCCAUUCUUUCCAUUCAAAUCGGUAACCCUUGCGUAACAGUUCAUAUAAUGGAUCUGCUAUGUGAGCAAAAUGAGGGAUCUAGAUUCGAUAAAAUACACAUGCACCCAAAAACCUGUGAACCUCUGUUAAAGAAUCACAAUCCUCUUUCAUCCUUCCAAUUGCAUCAACUUUAGUCGGAUCUGGUUUUCUUCUGUAAGAUCCACAUAAAUGUCCAAUAAUUACAACCUCUCGCACUCCAAAUACGGACUUCAUAUCCGAUAAUGUAAGAUGAACUUCUCCAAGCCAAGUUAAAAUCUUUUCACAAUCUUGUAUAUGAUCAACAACAUAUCUGCGACAUCCCCUCGUAUCUAAAGUUUCAUCCUUGUCUCCUUCUCUGCACCCUUUUAUAGGAACAUCAUCCAGAAAAGGCAUAGUCUUUUCCGGAAUAAAAUCUCUCAAUACCUUAUUCAUCCCAUUCAUCAUAUGCGCAACUGAGUUGGUCGCGCGUUGAGGAAGAGUGCACAUUCUAACCAAUCCAAGCGAUGUCCUCAUCGUUGUCAUAUCUCUACUUCCUUCGGCAAGUUGAAAUUGAUCAUAACCUGAAUACGAAUCACCCAUUGAAUAGAUCGCCCUUCCAGCAAACGCCUCAGUUAAUUCAUCCACAAUAGGUCCAAUUCCUGCAUUCCUGACAAUUACAGCAUUCACCGGCUGCAUAUCUUGAAUAAACCAUAGUGACCCAUUCUUCUUAGGUACCGUAAACCAUCGACUAGAAUACGGCGCAAAUGAAGGUUCUAAUAUUUUCAUCUUUAUCUUUUCUUUCAAUAGUUCCACCAAUUUAGGUAAAUGUGCCCUUGGUACUGGAAUCGGUCUUAGAUUCCAAGGUACAUGCGGUACAGUGAAGAUAACCAUAGGUGUUAUAAUAUUUGGAUCCACACAUCCAAUUUCAUGAGAUUCGAAGGCAAACGAUCUACCUUAUUUAGCCAACAUCUUUUUGAAGCAAGUAAUUUCCUCCGGCAAUAAAGAACCAUCAGAAUCAAUCUUCAAUUCUUCAAAAGUCUCUUCAGUAAACUGAUGUCCAAUACUCACUGGAUCUCUUAAACUUGCUUCUUUUGAUGCUUCUCCCAUUUGUUCUUUAGAAUCCUCUGGUAAUGGUCCGGCAACAGGCUUUCCCUUCUUAUCUGCCAUUUUAUAUCUCGUCUCUACUGUGACUUUUGGUGCUUGAAAAGAUUCAAGCAUGGUAUAAACCUCUCUGGAAUGAAUCUCAACAAUCUUAUCAUUAUCCCUUAACCCAAUAGAUGUAAUCAAUUCCAAUAAAUCUUCCAGUCCAUUUUCUUCAUAAACACCUAAAAUCCUCUCAUCAUCUUGCAAUGUACCUAACAUGCGUAAUUCUCUUUCAAUAUUAUAUAAUCUUUUUCUUUCUUUUCUUUUAAAAUCAUCAACUUUCUUAUACAUAAUAUUUCCAUUCUCCAAUAUACCAAUAAAACUCGCAUCAAAGGCACCUUCAUCUCGCGAGAGUACCUCCUCCUUUGUACCUUCAUAAUCUCGCUUUACAGUGAUACCUCCCCAAAAUCCUUAAAUCCUUCAACAAUCUAUGGCAAUGGUUUCUCCCUCAACCUAUACCGAUUCCGUUCAUGGUUAGGAGGUACUGUUAGAAAUUGUACAACUUUCCUCCUAUCUUCGCUCUGUACCCUUGCAUAAGCAGAACCAUCGUCAAGUACCUUUGUUUCCAUCCGUGUUGUCGUGAUAUAAGGUUGUCCUAAAAUCAACGGAUAAGACGUUGUAUCUUGAACGAAGAAAUAUUACUUCGUCGCAACAUCCCCAAUCCGAAUUUUGACAUCUGAACAAGCUCCAUAUAAUUCUCCUCGUGUGUUAUUAGCUGCUCGUAUUGCCCAUCCAUGUUCCAUAUCAAUUGGCCAUUUUUGCUUCUUAUAAAGAUCUUUAGACAUGAGAUUUAUUUCAGAACCAUGGUCCACCAAGGCAACUAUUGGUUCUUCUAUAUCUCCUACCUUCAUCAAUACCUCAGUAGUUGCCCUUGCCUAAUGCAUUCGAGUAUAAUGGCUCAAAGUUUCCAUUUUCUUGUCACUAGAAUCUUCGAAACGUACUCGCAGAUUAUACCCAUUUUUUCCAUUUGUUGGUUGCUUGUAACCAAUAUCAACCUCUUCUUCAUCUCUACAUAUUCUUGCAUCAAUAACAUGACUCAUUCCAGUUUCGCUCAUUAAUUGUCUCUUUCGCUUAAUGCUGUCAAUGAUAACAUCAUGAAACUCCUUCUUUGUAAUUCGCAAAACUUCUUUCAAUGUGAAUUCCACCUUAGCGUUUAAUAUACGUUCUUCCAACAUCCCUUUCAAAUUUGUUGCCGCUUCAAUGUCAGAAAGUAGCUUAUAAGUAAUUGAUUUCCCUUAUCUUUUGUCUCCCUUGUUUUUUCUUCCAAUGAUGCUGAGGUAUCUUUUAUAGGCAAUUCUUGUGAAGCUGCUUCUCGAGCCUUGUCUCCUUGAGUUUGCCUCUUAGAAGAAUUUCCUUCUCUGGUAUCAUCAAAAUUUCUUCGUCUCUUUUCUUCCAUCAAAGCUUCAUGUUGGCUCUUAAUAAUAUAUGCAUGAACUGAAAGAGACUCAACAGGAUCCUCCUAACCUGUUGCACCUCAUAUUGUAGCUGCAGUCCUAAAUAAUGCUUCUCGAGGUAAUUUUCCUUCUUGCAUUGUAGAAAUGGUAGAAGCCCAAAACUCACUAGUUUCCAUUCUUCCACCAAGGUCAUCAUCUACUCUAGCACCAUAACUUGCACUUUCUAGUGCUACUGUUUUGCGCUCUUUUAGGUAAUCUUGAACCAAUGCUCUCAUUCUUUUCUUACCAAAAUUGGUUUGAAGAAGAUCCUUCCUAUCUUUCAAUCCUAUCUUCCCAUCUUUCCAGCAAAUAAUUCCGUGCCGUAUCAUAUUAUUAAAUUCAUUGCAAUCUUUUCUAGUGUGUGAAGCAUCAUCACACCAAAUGCAUCUUUGUACAUAUCCUUGUUUUGAAACAUUCUUCGAAUUAUUUAUAGAAGUAUUCUCUUCAAGUCUUACCAAUUUGAUUUGAAGAUCUCACAUUCCUCGUAUAAUUUCUUCCAUACCCAUAUCUGCUUUCUUUGACAAGGAUGUCGAAGGUUGAACUGUAGGCAUUGUCGGUGGUAUUGUACGUACUGGAGCUUUGGGUGCUUGUACUGUUUUUGGAAUAUUGCUCCUAUCCUUCCUCCUUUCUUUUUUUGUAAGCAACUCCACCGCAUCUUAAUCGUUCUUCUACUUCGUUGUCAAUCCUUCAUCUUCUUCUUUGUCUUCAAGAAGGGGUUCUAAUUUCUCUUGCAAUUCUCCAUUAGCAGCUUGAAGAAAUAGAUCAACUUUGUUCGGCUCCAAUGUCAAUUUUUCUACCUUCAAUAAUUGAGAGUACUGCCUCUCAAAUUCCCUUAGUAGCUUUGUUGCUUGCAAAUUCUUAUUGGGCCGUUCAAUCCAUCCCAGAAACAGCUUCUUAGUAAUGCGAUCAGCAUCUUCCAAGAAAUAUUCGUCUUUCAAUGCAUGUGAAAAAUCCUCCCAUGAAUUCCCACAACAAUCCGUAAUCGAUGUAAUGUGGUCUCUUAUCUCCGGUACCGUGGCAAGUCUAAAUAAUUCAACCAUUUUCUUCUCAGAAAUCUGAUUUAAUUCUAUUUUACGAACAUAACCUCUUAAAUACCUUGAAAUAUUCCUCCCAUCAAAUUGAUCAAUUUUAUUGACCACUGCUUGCAAUGCUUUGGUUGCCAAAGCUUCCUUUCGAUCAUUGCUUUGCUGUUGCUGCAUUGACAAUGAGAAGGCUUGAAACAAACUAGCAAUAGACGGAUCCAUAUGCAAACCUUAUCCUUUAGAAGACUCCCCACCAGAAACUUCUCCCAAAAAUCCUUCAAAAUUUUUAUUUUCGUUUUCCAUAAAAAUAAAGAUAAAAUCAACCGAAAUCCAAUACCUUCCACCUCAAGCUUUCACGUCGGGUUCACCACUUAUGUCACAUUACGUGCUUUCCUGCUUGAAAACGUGCCGGGCGUUUGGCUGUAGAAGGUAGUAUGGAGAUUCGCCGAUAGUCAAGCAGUCUAUCAGUUUUUGACUGCUGGAAUAUAAACACCUGCAAUAAUGUACCGUAAAUCUAUACGGAUGCUCUUCGACUGCUUGUCGAAGUCUUUUUUUUUUUUUUGCCCCAGCCGAUAGGUCUCUAGACGUUACAGAGAACCCCGAACAACCCAAACUGUUAAUCUUCAAUACCCCUUUGUACUUACAAUCUUGCAUCCACUGACUGUCCUGUUAGAUUAACCCAAUAAAUUUCAUUCACUCCGCAUACUCAAUCCUAUAGACACCCCUUUAAUCCUUCAAUCACAGACGUAACUCGAUUUUAUAAAACAGUCAAGAGUAUUCAAACCCACUUCAUUUAAAAAUCCCAAUUCACCCUUACAACACUGACUUCAGCAGCAAUUGCCUCAGUCAUCCCAAAACUCUACGAAGAAGAAAAAUCCAAAUUCUAUGUCUUUCCUUUCCCGACCCGAAGCAUGAAGCUCCUCUCUCUAAUUCCCUUGAUCUUCAAAAACCUCCAAUAAAACCAAACUGAUAACCUUGCAAAAGCUUGAAAACUAGCUCUCCCCCGAUUCCCCGAAAGAAAAAAACCUCCCCCCCUCAAAACUAUAUCCCCCCUAACCUUAUCCUCUGAAUUUCUUCAAUCUUCCGUCUUAGAUCCGGAAUUGGCUCACACCUCAAGCUUGGAUCCAAAAUUGGCUCUCGCCGUCAAGCUUUCUCCUCCGUUUUUACCUUUAAGAAAUCCAUUUACCGAAAACAAUGUUCCCUGAAACGGCACAAAGAACAGGACAGCCUGAAACAGAAUCGAACCCCAUAAUCGGGACCACAUUGAGUCGCCCGACCAAUUCAGGUCCUAUAUUGGGAAAGAUGCCCGUAGUAACCUGGAUGUUCCCGUAAUUGGAUCAAGUUGGUCCUCGCGUUAGAUUGGCUAAGACCCGUAGUAAGACUUGGAUUUCCCAUAAUUAGACUCCAUUGGGUUGACCGGCCAAUUCAGGUCUCAUAUUGGAUAAGAAGACCCGGAUUGGAUUAUCGAAAUUGGAUCCAAUUGGCUCCUCAAACCCAUUGUGUGAAUUGGUCCUUCUCUUCCUGCUAACUCCCGUUAUUAGAAUCGAAUGGAGCAUUUCAGUAUGCCCCGGCUGACUGUAACGGAGUGACUGAACCUGACCACUCAGUAUUUGUACUGGAAUUGGUCGAUGCUCCCAAUAUUCGAGGUAACUGAAUAUUAAUAAAAUUCCCCUUUCUUUUUAUUUUCACUGUAUAUUCGUGUUACAAUACGACUACGUAAUACGACAAAAGAGGUGAACCCGACGUGAAUGCUUGAGGUGGAAGGUAUUGGAUUUCGGUUGAUUUCAUCUUUAAUUUAUGGAAAACGAAAAUAAAAAAUUUGAAGGAUUUUUGGGAGGAGUUUCUGGUGGGGGUUCUUCUAAAGGACAAGGUAUGCACAUGGAUCCGUCUAUUGCUAGUAUGUUUCAAGCCUUCUCAUUAUCAAUACAGCAAUAGCAAAGCAAUGAUCGAAAGGAAGCUUUGGCAACCAAACCAUUGUAAGCAGUGGUCAAUAAAAUUGAUCAAUUUGAUGGGAGGAAUAUUUCAAGGUAUUUAAGAGGUUAUGUUCGUAAAAUAGAAUUAAAUCAGAUUUCUGAGAAGAAAAUGGUUGAAUUAUUUAGACUUGCCACGGUACCGGAGAUAAGAGACCACAUUAUAUCGAUUACGGAUCGUUAUAGAAAUUCAUGGGAGGUUUUUUCACAUGCAUUGAAAGACGAAUAUUUCUUGGAAGAUGCUGAUCACGUUACUAAGAAGUUGUUUCUGGAAUGGAUUGAACGGCCCAAUAAGAAUUUACAAGCAACAAAGCUACUAAGGGAAUUUGAGAGGCAAUACUCUCAAUUAUCGAAGGUAGAAAAAUUGACAUUGGAGCCGAACAAAGUUGAUCUAUUUCUUCAAGCUGCAGAUGGAAAAUUACAAGAGAAAUUAGAAUUCCUCCUUGAAGACAAAGAAGAAGAUGAAGGAUUGACAACAAAGUGGAAGAACGUUGAAGAUGCGGUGGGAUUGCUUACAAAAAGAGAAAGGAGGAAGGAUAGGAGCAAUAUUCCAAAAACAGUACAAGCACCCAAAGCUCCAGUACGUACAACACCACCAACAAUGCCUACAGUUCAACCUUCGAGAUCCUUAUCAAAGAAAGCAGGUAUGGAGAUGGAAGAAAUUAUACGAGGAAUGCGAGAUCUUCAAAUCAAAUUGGUAAGACUUAAAGAGAAUACUUCUACAAACAAUUUCAAGAAUAUUUCAAAACAAUGAUAUGUACAAAGAUGCAUUUGGUGUGAUGACGCUUCACACACUAGAAAAGAUUGCAAUGAAUUUAAUAAUAUGAUAUGGCGAGGAAUUAUUUGCUAGAAAAAUGGAAAGUUUGCAUUAAAAGAUAGGGAGGAUCUUCUUCAAAUCAAUUUUGGCAAGAAAAGAAUGAGAGCAUUGGUUAAAGAUUACCUAAAAGAGCGCAAAACAGUAGCACUAGAAAGUGCAAGUUAUGGUGCUAGAGUAGAUGAUGACCUUGGUGGAAGAAUGGAAACUAGUGAGUUUUGGGCUUCUACCAUUUCUACAAUGCAAGAAGGAAAAUUACCUCGAGAAGCAUUAUUUAGGACUGCAGCUACAAUACGAGGUGCAACAGGUUAGGAGGAUCCUGUUGAGUCUCUUUCAGUUCAUGCAUAUAUUACUAAGAGCCAAUAUGAAGCUUUGAUGGAAGAAAAGAGACGAAGAAAUUUUGAUGAUACCAGAGAAGGAAAUUCUUCUAAGAGGCAAACUCAAGGAGACAAGGCUCGAGAAGCAGCUUCACAAGAAUUGCCUAUAAAAGAUACCUCAGCAUCAUUGGAAGAAAAAACAAGGGAGACAAAAGAUAAGGGCAAAUCAAUUACUUAUAAGCUACUUUCUGACAUUGAAGCGGCAACAAAUUUGAAAGGGAUGUUGGAAGAACGUAUAUUAAAUGCUAAGGUGGAAUUCACAUUGAAAGAAGUCUUGGGAAUUACAAAGAAGGAGUUUCAUGAUGUUAUCAUUGACAGCAUUAAGCAAAAGAGGCAAUCAAUGGACGAAACUGGAAUGAGUCAUGCUAUUGAUGCAAGAAUAUAUAAAGAUGAAGAAGAGGUUGAUAUUCGUUACAAGCAACCAACAAAUGGAAAAAAUGGGUAUAAUCAACGAGUAUGUUUCGAAGAUUAUAGUGAUAAGGAAAUGGAAACCUUGAGCCAUUAUACUCGAAAGCAUUGGGCGAGGGCAACUACUGAGGUAUUCGUGAAAGUAGGAGAUAUACAAGAACUAAUUGUUGCUUUAGUCGACCAUGGUUCUGAAAUAAAUCUCAUGUCUAAAGAUCUUUAUAAGAAGCAAAAAUGGCCAAUUGAUAUGGAACAUGGAUGGGCAAUUCGAGCAGCUAAUAACACACGGGGCGAAUUAUAUGGAGCUUGUCUAGAUGUCAAGAUUCGGAUUGGGAAUGUUGCGACGAAGCAAUAUUUCUUUGUUUAAGAUGUAACGUCUUAUCCGUUGAUUUUAGGACAACCUUAUAUUACGACAACACGGAUGGAAACAAAAGUACUUGACGAUGGUUCUGCUUAUAUAAGGGUACGUAGCAAAGAUGGGAGGAAAGCUGUACAAUUUCUAACAGUACCUCUUAAUCAUGAACGAAAUCGAGAUAGGUUGAGGGAGAAACCAUUGCCAAAGAUUGUUGAAAGAUUUAAGGAUUUUGGGAAGGUACCACUAUAAAGCGAGAUUAUGAAGGUACACAAGAGGAGGUACUCUCGUGAGAUGAAGGUGCCUUUGAUGCGAGUUUUAUUGAUAUUUUGGAGAAUGGAAAUAUUAUGUAUAAGAAAGUUGUUGAUUUUAAAAGAAAAGAAAGAAAAAGAUUAUAUAAUAUUGAAGGAGAAUUACGCAAGUUAGGUACAUUGCAAGAUGAUGAGAGGAUUUUAGAUGUUUAUGAAGAAAAUGGACUGGAAGAUUCAUUGGAAUUGAUUACAUCUAUUGGGUUAGGGGAUAAUGAUAAGAUUGUUGAGAUUUUAUUCAAGAGAGGUUUAUAUCAUACUUGAAUCUUUUCAAGCACCAGAAGUCAUUGUAGAGACGAGAUAUAAAACGAAAGAUAAGAAGGGAAAGCCUAUUGCCGGACCAUUGCUAGAAGAUUCAAAAGAACAAAUGGAAGAAGUAUGAAAAGAAGCAAGUUUAAGUGAUCCAAUGAGUAUUGGACAUUAGUUUACUAAAGAGACUUUUGAAGAAUUGAAGAUUGGUUCUGAUGGUUCUUUAUUGUCGGAGGAAAUUACUUGCUUCAAAAAGAUGUUGGCUAAACAAGGUAGAUCGUUUGCCUUCGAAUCUAAUGAAAUUGGGUGUGUGAAUCCAAAUAUUAUAACACCUAUGGUUAUCUUCACUAUACCGCAUGUACCUUGGAAUCUAAGACCGAUUCCAGUACCGAGGGCACAUUUACCUAUAUUGAUGGAACUAUUAAAAGAAAAGAUAAAGAUGAAAAUAUUGGAACCCUCAUUUGCACCGUAUUCUAGUCGAUGGUUUACGGUACCUAAGAAGAAUGGGUCACUGUGGUUUAUUCAAGGUAUACAACCAAUGAAUGCAGUAACUGUUAGAAAUGCAGGAAUUGGAUCUAUUGUGGAUGAACUUGCUGAGGCGUUUGUUCGAAGGGCGAUCUAUUCAAUGGAUGACUUGUAUUCAGGUUAUGAUCAAUUUCAACUUGUCGAAGGAGGUAGAGAUAUGACAACAAUGAGGACACCACUAAGAUUGGUUAGAAUGUGUACUCUUCUUCAAGGCGCAACCAACUCAGUUGCGCAUAUGAUGAAUGGGAUGAAUAAGGUAUUGAGAGAUUUUAUUCUGAAAAAGACUAUGCCUUUUUUGGAUGAUGUUCCUAUAAAAGGGUGCAGAGAAGGAGACAAGGAUGAAACUUUAGAUACGAGAGGGUGUCGCAAAUAUAUUGUUGAUCAUAUACAAGAUUGUGAAAAGAUUUUAACUUGGCUUGGAGAAGUUCACCUUACAUUAUCGGGUAUGAAGUCCGUAUUUGGAGUAUGAGAGGUUGUGAUUGUUGGACAUUUAUGUGGAUCUUACGGAAGAAAACCAGAUCCGACUAAAGUUGAUGCAAUUGGAAGGAUGAAAGAGGAUUGUGAUUCUUUAACAGAGGUUCGCAGGUUUUUAGGUGCAUGUAUAUUUUAUCGAAUCUGGAUCCCUCAUUUUGCUCACAUAGCGAAUCCAUUAUAUGGACGCUAGUCUAAUUACCAUUGGAUGGACUUUGGGUCAAGAUGAUUCCAGUGAAAAUAGAUUUGCAGUUCGAUUUGGAGCUAAAGUUUUCAGUAUUCGUCAACGUGCAUAUUAGCAAGUCAAAAGAGAACUUUGCGGAGUCGUUUCGGCUAUAAAAGCUGAAAAGGACUAUUUGAUUGGAGUAGUAGUAGGAAUUGAAACAGAUUGCUUGCCAUUGCUAGGAAUGAUUACUAACUGUUCAACGUCAAAUAUUGCAAUGUUGAGAUGGAUUGCUUAUAUUAAGUCACUAAAUCUAGAAUUUAAGCAUGUUACUGGGAAGGACAAUUUAGUAGCAGACAUGCUAUCUCGAGCAAGAUACGAGAGGGAGGACGAAAUGGUUGAAGACAUUGAUGACGUCGAAUUGAAAUUCUAUUCAAUAUCAAAUCUCAACAGAGAAGACAAGCUAUUUCUUGAAGAAUCUUAUGAAGGAGAAUUAUUGAAUAUUGGUCAUUACUUGAAUAUCUUGACUAAGCAGGAGAAUUGGUCUACAAAAAAAUUCAAACAAAUAAGAAAAAAAGCAUAUGGAUUUUUGCUUCGAGAUGGAUUCUUAUGGAAGAGACCGAAGAAAGGAAUUGGGAUGCCACAACGAGUGAUAGGCAAAAAAGAAGAAAGACUAAAACUAUUAAAGGAGUUUCAUGAUAGUUUAUGGGCAGGGCAUAGAGGAAUCUAGGCUACUUUUGCUAAACUCAAGGAACGAUAUUGGUGGAAAAAUAUGUAUCAAGAUGUGCUCUCAUUUGCAGAGUCAUGUGAAAUCUGUCAAUCGUAUUCUAAUAUCCGACAUCGAGGUGGUCUUCAUCCUACGUAUCCUCUGGCUAUUCAUUUUAAAUGGGUUGUUGAUUUGGUUAUUAUGUCGGUUGGGUUAUGGCAGACGAGAUAUUUGAUUUUAGCUCGCAAAGAUUUAUCAAAUCAAGUAGAAGGAAGAGCAUUGAGGACAAAAUCUACAGAGGGGAUUUGUAGGUUUUUGCUUGAAGAUAUCAUUUGCCGCUACGGAUGCGUAGGAAUAAUCAUUGCAGAUCAUGGAGAAUUAAAUGCACAAGAAGCUCGUAAGUUCUUUGAAAGAUGUGGAAUUAAAUUAUCACUGACUACUGCUUAUAAUCCAUAAGGGAAUACAAAAAGCGAUCGCGGUCUCCCACUGAUUGUGAAAGCAUUAGUUAAAGCUUGUAAUGGAUAAGUUAAAGAGUGGCCACGGCUUUCGUCAUUUGCAUUAUGGGUUGAUCGAACAACACAUAGUUCAGUGACAGGAUAUAUGCUAGUAGAACUUAUGACAGGUCAAAAACCAAUUAUGCCGAUUGAAGAAAAGGUACUUACUUAGAGUAUGCUACCAUGGGAAGAUAGAUUGACAAGAGAAGAACUUCUGGCUAUUAGGAUUUGAAAAUUAGAGCAAAGAUCAGAAGAUGUGCAAAUAGCAUUGGAAAGGUUCAAAAGGACAAGAUUACAAAACAAGGCACGAUUCGAUAAGCAACAUCGAUUGAGACCUAAAACAAUCGAGGAAGGUGACUGGGUACUUGUUUAUGACAAUAGUUUGGAUAAUCAACAUAGUACUUUGCGGAAAUUUUUAAAACGUUGGUUUGGACCAUAUGUAGUAACAACUAUUCAUGAUAAUGCGACUUACUCAUUACGGGAGUUAGAUGGUACAAAAUUGAAAAUACGAAUUGCAGGGAAGUUAGUAAAAAUAUUUAAACAAAGAUACGCGAAGAUGAAUAUGGAAGACCUUAAUGAAGGUAUAGUGAUUCCGCAGCAAGAAGAUGAAAGUAAAUUGGAUAAUGAAGGUGACGAAGACGAACGUGACAAAGACGUAGAGGAUAUAUUCUAAAUCAAACAGCAAUUGGAUAAAUUGGUGCAUACCGGAAGAUGCACAAGUUCGGAGGGGGGUGGAUGUCGUGUUAUAACAAGAGUAUAUUGUGAAAAUAUAAAAAAAGAGGACUUUUAUUAAUGUUUAGUUAUCUCAAAUAUUGGGAGCAACGACCAAUUCCAGUGCAAAUACUGAGAGGCUAGAUUCAGUCACCCCGUUACAGUCAGCCGGGGCUUACUGAAAUGCUCCGUUCGAUUCCAAUAACGGGAGUCAGUAGAAAGGGAAAGGACCAAUUCAACGACGGGUGAACCUGGUUCGAAGAGCCAAUUGGAUCCAAUUUCAAGACAUCCAAUCUAGAUCUUACUACUGGCCUCUUACGCAAUAUGAGACCUGAAUUAGUCGGGCAACCCAAUAAAGUCCAAUUUCAAGACAUCGAAUCCGGAUCCUCUUAGCCAAUAUGAGACCUGAAUUGGUCGGGCAACUCAAUGUGGUCCCAAUUACGGGGGUUUCGAUUCUGUUUCAGGCUGUCUUGUUCUCUGUGCCAUUUCAAGGAACGUUGUAUUCGGUAAAAAGAUCUCUUAAAGGUAAAAACGGAGGAAAAAACUUUGACGGUGGGAGCCAAUUCCGGAUCCAAGAUGGAAGAUUGAAUAAAUUCAGAGGCUAGGAUUUGAAAGAGGAGAGAAUUAGGGUUAAAGGGGAGGAUAGGUUAAGAAAUGAAGGGCAAAGAAUAAGUUUUUUUGGGGGGUUUUGAAGGAUCGGGGAGCUAGCUUCAUGCUUCGGGAAGGGGAAAAAAGACAGAGAAUUGGGUUUUUUUUUCUUCAUAGGAUUUUGGAAAGACUGAGGCAAUCGUUGCUGAAGUCAGUGGUGUAUUGGUGAAUCGGGAUUUUAAUGAAGUGGGUGUGAUUACUCUUGACAGUUUUGUAAAAUCGAGUUACGUUUGUGAUGAAGAAUUAAAAGGGUGUCUAUAGGAUUGAGUAUGCGGAGUGAAUGAAAUUUGUUGGAUUAAUCUAAUGAGACAAUCAGUGGAUACAAGAUUGUGAGUAUAAAGCGGUAUCGAAGAUUAGCAGUUUGGGUUGUUCGGGGUUCUCUAUAACGUCUAGAGACCUAUCGGCUGGGGCAAAAAGGACUUCGGCAUGCAAUCGAAGGGCAUCCGUAUAGAUUUACAGUGUAUUCUUACAAUCAUUUAUAUUCCAAUAGUCAAAAACCGAUAGACUGCAUGAAUAUUGGCGAAUCUCCAUACUACCUUCUACAGCCAGAUGUCCGGUGCGUUCUCGAGCAGGAAAGCAUGUAAUACGCCAAAAGUGGUGAACCCGAUGUGAAAGCUUGAAGAGGAAGGUAUUAGAUUUUGUUUGAUUUUAUUUUUAUUUUUAUUUUAUGAAAAACGAAAAUAAAAAAUUUUGAAGGAUUUUUGGGAGGAGUUUCUAGUAGAGGUUCUUCUAAAGGACAAGGUAUGCACAUGGAUCCGUCUAUUGCUAGUAUGUUUCAAGCCUUCUCAUUAUCAAUACAGCAAUAGCAAAGCAAUGAUCGAAAGGAAGCUUUGGCAACCAAACCAUUGUAAGCAGUGGUCAAUAAAAUUGAUCAAUUUGAUGGGAGGAAUAUUUCAAGGUAUUUAAGAUGUUAUGUUCGUAAAAUAGAAUUAAAUCAUAUUUCUGAGAAGAAAAUGGUUGAAUUAUUUAGACUUGCCACGGUACCGGAGAUAAGAGACCACAUUAUAUCGAUUACGGAUCGUUAUAGAAAUUCAUGGGAGGUUUUUUUACAUGCAUUGAAAGAUGAAUAUUUCUUGGAAGAUGCUGAUCGCGUUACUAAGAAGUUGUUUCUGGAAUGGAUUGAACGGCCCAAUAAGAAUUUACAAGCAACAAAGCUACUAAGGGAAUUUGAGAGGCAGUACUCUCAAUUAUCGAAGGUAGAAAAAUUGACAUUGGAGCCGAACAAAGUUGAUCUAUUUCUUCAAGCUGUAGAUGGAAAAUUACAAGAGAAAUUAGAAUUCCUCCUUGAAGACAAAGAAGAAGAUGAAGGAUUGACAACAAAGUCGAAGAACGUUGAAGAUGCGGUGGGAUUGCUUACAAAAAGAGAAAGGAGGAAGGAUAGGAGCAAUAUUCCAAAAACAGUACAAGCACCCAAAGCUCCAGUACGUACAACACCACCAACAAUGCCUACAGUUCAACCUUCGAGAUCCUUAUCAAAGAAAGCAGGUAUGGAGAUGGAAGAAAUUAUACGAGGAAUGCGAGAUCUUCAAAUCAAAUUGGUAAGACUUAAAGAGAAUACUUCUACAAACAAUUCCAAGAAUAUUUCAAAACAAUGAUAUGUACAAAGAUGCAUUUGGUGUGAUGACGCUUCACACACUAGAAAAGAUUGCAAUAAAUUUAUGUCAGGGACAUAUUUCUUAGAACUUUUUAGAGAGAAGUUUCUAGGAACUUCUAGAAAACAAGCCUCUGGAACCUUCUAGAAGAGAAGCCUCUAGAACCUUUUAGAGAGAAGUUUCUAGAAGCUUCUAGAGAGGAAGUCUCUAGAACCUUCUAGAAGAAAAGUUUCUAGAAACUUCUAGAAAGGAAUCUCCUAGAACUUUCUAGAAGCUUCCUAGUUAAUAGAAGUAGCUCGAGAAGUUUCUAGAACCUUCUCGAAAGGAAGCCUCUGGAUCCUUCUAGAAGCUUCUUAGUUAAUAGAAGUAGCUCGAGAAGCUUCCUAAGUAGGAGUAUAUAUAGGAAUCGAGGCUGAAGAGUUCUUCAGUCUCGACAACACAUCUCUUGGAGUUCUAGCUCACCUUUCUGGUGUUGUUCUUGUACUCAUCUGUUUAAUCUAGUUCUGUCACUUCUUCUUGAACUUCUUGUUAGAUUUCAAGUCUGUAUUUUGUGUCCGUGACAGUUUGUCGAGACUACACUAACUUGAGAUAUCAGAGUUAGUUCUUUCUUAAUAGAGUGUGGAUUACCCCUCUACUUGAAGGUAUAUUAGCAUUUUUAAAGGUUGCGGAUUACCCUCCUCUAAACUGAUACUUCUUUUGUUACAAUAUUGGAGUCUUAUUCUUCUUGGAGAGAGUGGAUUACCCUUCUUCUUGAAAUUCUUAAGGCGUUUUAUAGGUUGUGGAUUACCCUCCUAUAAACCAAUAUUGCCUCUUGUAGAGUCAUUUUUGUCCUUCUUUUAGAAUGGCCGGAGGUCAAGACAUUAGUAUGACAGAAAGUUCGGAGUCUAAGUUAGAUGCUAUUAUGAAUGCCUUCGCUACGUUAUCACAAAGAACUGCAGAGAUUGAAGGAGUGGUGGCAAGGCUUCAUAAUGAUGGAGUAUCUGGGAUAGCACAAUCUAAACUACACCAGCCUCAAAUUUCGGCACUUGGAGAAACAACUUUACCUCAGGUUCGACAAGAACCACUAGUUCUACAACAUAAGGAGCCUCGAGUUAGCCUUCCAGAUAAGUUUGAUGGAGCACGUUCCAAGUUUCGAGGAUUCGUCAAUCAAAUCAGGUUGAUAACAGUUUUAUAGCCCCAACGAUAUCCAACGGAGGAGUCACGUGUUGGGCUUGUUGGAACCUUACUUACAUGACAAGCUCUAUCAUGGUUUGCUCCUUAGUUUGAGAAACGAUCAUCCAUAUUAAACAACUUCGAAACCUUUUUGGAAGCAUUUGCGGAAGCAUUUGGUGAACACGAUAAGGUUCGAUGGGCUACAACAAAGAUCCGGUCGCUACGACAAAGGAUGCAUUCUACAUCAGUCUAUGCUUCGGAUUUGAGGCAAUUAGUAUGCGACAUCAAUUGGAAUGAAGAAGCGUUGAUGAGUCAAUUCUAUUGGGAUUUAAGAGAUGAUGUGAAGGAUUUGCUGUUAAUUCUUCCCGAUCCACGAACGCUCAAUGAAGCCAUUAGCCAAGCUGUGAAGUGCGAUAAUCACCUAUUCCAACGUCGCUAAGAUCAACGCUCAAGACAACAUACAAUUUGCCAUGCUCCAACUAUAUCGGCAAGCGGUGUGAAUUCGCAUUCAGAGGUAGAAGACAUGCAAAUUGAUGCGGUACGUAUCAAAUCUCUUACUAUAGAAGAAAAAAAACGACGUAUGGAAGAAAAUUUAUGCUUGUAUUGCGGUGGAAAAGGCCACAAAGUUGGAAACUGCCCCAAAAAGCAAAAUCGAGGCAUAGUCAAGACUAGGGGAGUAUUUGUUCAAGAAAACGAAGAUGCCUAGCCAUAGUAGGAACCGUGCGGCUGGACAAUGAAAUAUCCCAACAAUAAUCAGGUUCCUUUCUUUCUGCCCAACUUGUACUUUGUUUUACAAUCUCUCUGUUUAUCAGCCCUCAAAAACUGAGAACCUUAGCACUACUAGACUCAGGAGCAUCUGCUUGUUUUUUAGACGAAGAAUUUACAAAGUGUCAUAAGAUCCCUUUAGUACAAAAAUCAAAACCUGUUCAUGUUGAGGUCAUAGAUGGGCGACCUUUAUUGUCUGGUAGCAUCACCCACGAAUCAAAACCUAUAGAAGUAACAUUUAAAGACCAUAGUAGUCAUAUUAUUUUUAAUAUUAUUAGAACCCCAUCAAAUCCUAUUAUUCUUGGUCUUUCUUGGUUGGAAAAACAUAAUCCAUUGAUAGAUUGGAGGUUGCGGAAGAUGACUUUUUCCACAAAACCAUCCAAGAAAAAACCUAGUAAAAAACCUCGAAAAAUAAAUCCUUAUUCAUUGAAGCAAGAGCGUUUAUAAGAUCAUCUAAGGAAGGCACUCCAUUUGUCAUUUAUGCGGCUCCAACUACCGAGGAGAAGAUUUCAACAGCAAGUAUACCGGAGCAAUGUAAAGAUUUUGAAGACGUGUUUCAAAAGAAGAACGCCGACAUACGAUCGGAACACCGACCAUAUGAUUGUGCCAUAGACUUGCAAGAAGGAGCACAACCACCUUUUGGCCCAAUCUACAAUCUAUCACAAAUGGAGUUGGCAGAGUUACGAAAGUACAUCGACAAGAAUCUAGCCAAGAACUUCAUUCGUCAUUCAAAAUCAUCAGCUGGAGCACCCAUCUUAUUUGUGAAGAAGAAAGAUGGAUCAUUACGGAUGUGUGUGGACUAUCGAGGCCUCAACAAGAUAACAAAGAAAAAUCGUUACCCAUUACCCUUGAUUUCUAGUUUCUUAGAACAACUUGGACGUGCGAAGAUCUUUACAAAAAUUGAUCUAAAGAGAGCUUAUAAUCUCGUACGAAUCAAGGAAGGAGAUGAGUGGAAGACGGCAUUUCGUACAAGGUAUGGUCAUUUCGAAUAUAAUGUCAUGCCUUUUGGUCUUAUCAAUGCUCCAGCGGUUUUCCAACAUAUGAUGAAUGACAUCUUUCGAGAAUACCUCGACCAUUUUGUUGUCAUCUACUUGGACGAUAUUCUAAUAUUCUCUAAAAAUGAGGAAGAGCAUGAGGAGCAUGUUUGUUUGGUCUUGGAGAAACUACACAAGCGAGGACUAUAUGCCAAAUUAGAAAAGUGUUUAUUUCACCAAACGGAGAUGGAAUUUUUGGGGUUCAUUGCAACUACAGAAGGUUUGAAGAUGGACCCCAAGAAAGUAGAAGCAAUCAUGUCUUGGGAGGUUUCGAAGAUGGUUAGAGACGUACAAUGCUUUCUUAGUUUUGCUAACUUCUAUCGGAUCUUCAUCAAGAAUUAUUCUCAAGUUGCUGCUCCUCUCACUCGAUUAACAUGCAAGGAUAAGUUGGAAUGGGGACCUUUGGCGGAGAAGGCGUUUCAAGAUUUGAAGACAGCAUUUACUACAGCUCCAAUUUUGGUACAUCCAAACUUUACAAAGGCCUUCUAUUUAGUAACUGAUGCUUCAGAUUUUGCUUUGGGAGCUGUGCUUUCACAAAUGAGUGAAGAUAAGAAGCUCCAUCCAGUUGCAUUCUAUUCUCGAAAGUUCUUUGCUGCUGAAAUCAAUUAUGAGAUCGAUGAUAAGGAACUUCUUGCUAUAGUGGAUUCUUUCAAAGAAUGGCGUCACUUUCUUGAAGGAGCUGCACAUCCAGUAACCGUAUAUACGGAUCACAAGAAUUUGGAGUAUUUCAUGACGGCUCGAGUUUUAAAUCGGCGUCAAGCUCGGUAGAAUAUGUCGCUAUCUAGAUUCGACUUUGUUAUCACUUAUCAACCUGGAAGGCAGCAAGGACUAUCCGAUGCUUUAUCAAGGAGAUCGUAUCUUGCACCAAAGGUUGGAGAAGCAGCGUUUGAUCAACAAUGUACAACGUUAUUGAAGCCAGAGAGAUUUCAACUUUGUGCUACUAUUGUAUCAUUUGAUGCUGACUUCCUAAACCAGGUACGUGCUAUGACCAUUAAAGAUUCAGUAGCCAUUGAUAUCAAGCAACGUACCAAUGACGACAAGUUCAAGGUGGAGGGAGAUCUUUUAUACUUUGAAGAGCGAUUGUACAUUCCAAAAGGACUAGCACGACUCCGAGUUCUUCAAUCUCGCCAUGACUUUCCAGCUAUGGGACAUUUUGGAUUCAACAAGACCUUGGAGCUUAUUUCCCGAGAUUUUUGGUGGCCCCAAAUAUGGAAGGAUGUGAAAGAUUUUGUCCUCUCUUGUGACAUCUGUUCAAGAUCAAAGAAUCCUCGGCAUCGCCCUUAUGGACUUCUACAGCCAUUGCCAAAUCCACGUCGACCAUGGUCUUCAAUUUCUAUGGACUUCAUCACGAACUUGCCAUCAUCAAACUCAUUUGACAGCAUCUUUGUCGUGGUAGAUCGGCUUACGAAGAUGGCACACUUUGUUCCUUGUAAGAAGACAUCGUCCAGUGAAGUCACAACAAGACUCUUUCUCGAUAAUGUGUAUCGAUAUCAUGGACUACCAGAUGAUAUCAUAUCAGAUCGAGGUACCCAGUUCGUGUCAAAGUUUUGGAGAUCUCUCUUUGGGAUAUUGAAGGUGGAUAUCAAGCUUACUUCAGCUUUUCAUCCUCAAACAGAUGGCCAAACGGAACGGGUGAACCAAGUCUUGGAGCAGUACUUACGAUGCAGCAUCAACUAUCAGCAAGACGAUUGGACUGCAUAUCUACCGCUAGUCGAGUUUGUACAUAACAACACCCUCCAUGCGUCGACUCAACAAACACCAUUCUUUUCCAACUAUGGGUAUCAUCCGAAGCUUGAUUUAUUGAGUCCGUCAACAAAUAACAAUCCAGCAGCUGAAGGAUUUGCGAAGCAACUAUCACAGCUUCAAACUAUGUUGAAGCUUCAAUUACAAUCCGCUCAAGAAUCCUAUAAGACGUCUGCAGAUAGAUUUCGGAAUCCAACACCUACUUUCAAAGUUGGAGACAAAGCCUGGCUUCUUCGACGAAAUAUCAAGACCAAGCGACCAUGUGAUAAGUUGGACUAUUGAAGAUUGGGACCAUUUAUCAUCCAGAAGCAAAUUAAUCCAGUGGCAUACCGGCUGGAGUUACUGGCUUGUAUGAAGGUACAUCCAGUCUUUUAUGUUUCUCUGUUGGAACCUUAUCGAGAGUCAUCUUUUCUUGGAAGAGUACAAUGUCCGCCACCUAGUAUUGAAAUCGAAAACCACAAAGAAUACGAGGUUGAAAAGGUAUUGGAUUCACGGCGAAGGUGGGGAAAGUUAGAAUAUCUUGUUCAUUGGUGCGGCUAUGACAUUAAUGAGCAAACGUGGGAGCCAGCUGAAAAUCUUGCGAAUGCGCCACAAAAGGUACAGGAGUUUCAUCAAUGACAUCCCGAUAAACCUAAAUCAAUUCGAUGAUAGCUUCUUUCUGAAGCUUGUUCUCCCAACAAUAUAAGAAAAGGGGAGAUCACCGGAAAAUUCAUAGUUGAUGUAGUUAUUUUCUCCAAGAUAGAUCGUAGUUUGGUCUUUUGAUAUAGAUAGCUAAGAGAUAGAUACUAUGCCAGUCAGAGUAUUGCAACCGAGUAGCUCAUGAAGGCGACCCCAAGAUGAAGAACUACAUGUACCACGACGACAACGGAAGAUACCGAGUAACCGAUCACUGGUGAUUGUAUUUGAGAUCGAGCCUGCUUACGAUGGUCAACGAGAAGGCGUAUUUGCAGGACAAUUUCACAAUGAGGACACGAAAGUUUAUGCUUGGUCAGAAGUCGAAGGCGUGGGCCACUACCGUUGGCUUCAAGGGUCGAUGAACCACUUGCCUCGUGAACAACAAAUGGAGUUCAUAGCAGAAGUUAUGCGACAGAUCUUCAUUUUCUUGCGUUGGUACUGAUCAACAACAUUGCUUCUCAGAGACCUCGAAGCAAAAGGAGGGGGUGAUAUUAGGGACAUAUUUCUUAGAACUUUCUAGAGAGAAGUUUCUAGAACCUUCUAGAAAACAAGCCUCUAGAACCUUUUAGAAGAGAAGCCUCUAGAACCUUUUAGAGAGAAGUUUCUAGAAGCUUCUAGAAAGGAAGUCUCUAGAACCUUCUAGAAGAGAAGUUUCUAGAAACUUCUAGAAAGGAAUCCCCUAGAACUUUCUAGAAGCUUCCUAGUUAAUAGAAGUAGCUCGAGAAGUUUCUAGAACCUUCUAGAAAGGAAGCCUCUAGAACCUUCUAGAAGCUUCUUAGUUAAUAGAAGUAGCUCGAGAAGCUUCCUAAGUAGGAGUAUAUAUAGGAAUCGAGGCUGAAGAGUUCUUCAGUCUCGACAACACAUCUCUUCGAGUUCUAGCUCACCUUUUUGGUAUUGUUCUUGUACUCAUCUAUUUAAUCUAGUUCUGCCACUUCUUCUUGAACUUCUUGUUAGAUUUCAAGUCUGUAUUUUGUGUCCAUGACAAUUUAAUAAUAUGAUACAGCAAGAAAUUAUUUGCUGGAAAGAUGGAAAGAUAGCAUUAAAAGAUAGGGAGGAUCUUCUUCAAAUCAAUUUUGGCAAGGAAAGAAUGAGAGCAUUAGUUCAAGAUUACCUAAAAGAGCGCAAAACAGUAGCACGAGAAAGUGCAAGUUAUGGUGCUAGAGUAGAUGAUGACCUUGGUAGAAGAAUGGAAAGUAGUGAGUUUUGGGCUUCUGCCAUUUCUACAAUGCAAGAAGGAAAAUUACCUCGAGAAGCAUUAUUGAGGACUGCAGCUACAAUAUGAGGUGCAACAGGUUGGGAGGAUCCUGUUGAGUCUCUUUCAUUUCAUGCAUAUAUUACUAAGAGCCAACAUGAAGCUUUGAUGGAAGAAAAGAGACGAGGAAAUUUUGAUGAUACCAGAGAAGGAAAUUCUUCUAAGAGGAAAACUCGAGGAGACAAGGCUCAGGAGGCAGCUCCACAAGAAUUGCCUAUAAAGGAUACCUCAGCAUUAUUGGAAGAAAAAACAAGGGAGACAAAAGAUAAGGGCAAAUCAAUUGCUUAUAAGCUACUUUCUGACAUUGAAGCGGCAACAAAUUUGAAAGGGAUGUUGGAAGAACGUAUAUUAAACGCUAAGGUGGAAUUCACAUUGAAAGAAGUCUUGGGAAUUGCAAAGAAGGAGUUUCAUGAUGUUAUCAUUGACAGCAUUAAGCGAAAGAGGCAAUUAAUGGGCAAAACUGGAAUGAGUCAUGCUAUUGAUGCAAGAAUAUAUAAAGAUGAAGAAGAGGUUGAUAUUAGUUACAAGCAACCAACAAAUGAAAAAAAUGGGUAUAAUCAACGAGUACGUUUCGAAGAUUAUAGUGAUAAGGAAAUGGAAACUUUGAGCCAUUAUACUCGAAAGCAUUGGACACUGAGGUAUUGGUGAAAGUAGGAGAUAUAGAAGAACCAAUUGUUGCUUUAGUCGACCAUGGUUCUGAAAUAAAUCUCAUGUCUAAAGAUCUUUAUAAGAAGCAAAAAUGGCCAAUUGAUAUGGAACAUAGAUGGAUAAUUCGAGCAGCUAAUAACACACGGGACUAAUUAUAUGGAGCUUGUCCAGAUGUCAAGAUUCGGAUUGGGGAUGUUGCGACGGAGCAACAUUUCUUUGUUCAAGAUACAACGUCUUAUCCGUUGAUUUUAGGACAA
rnacentral:lncRNA from 1 species